GGGUUGUGAGGUUAAGCGACUAAGCGUACACGGUGGAUGCCCUGGCAGUCAGAGGCGAUGAAGGACGUGCUAAUCUGCGAUAAGCGUCGGUAAGGUGAUAUGAACCGUUAUAACCGGCGAUUUCCGAAUGGGGAAACCCAGUGUGAUUCGUCACACUAUCAUUAACUGAAUCCAUAGGUUAAUGAGGCGAACCGGGGGAACUGAAACAUCUAAGUACCCCGAGGAAAAGAAAUCAACCGAGAUUCCCCCAGUAGCGGCGAGCGAACGGGGAGGAGCCCAGAGCCUGAAUCAGUGUGUGUGUUAGUGGAAGCGUCUGGAAAGGCGCGCGAUACAGGGUGACAGCCCCGUACACAAAAAUGCACAUGCUGUGAGCUCGAUGAGUAGGGCGGGACACGUGGUAUCCUGUCUGAAUAUGGGGGGACCAUCCUCCAAGGCUAAAUACUCCUGACUGACCGAUAGUGAACCAGUACCGUGAGGGAAAGGCGAAAAGAACCCCGGCGAGGGGAGUGAAAAAGAACCUGAAACCGUGUACGUACAAGCAGUGGGAGCACGCUUAGGCGUGUGACUGCGUACCUUUUGUAUAAUGGGUCAGCGACUUAUAUUCUGUAGCAAGGUUAACCGAAUAGGGGAGCCGAAGGGAAACCGAGUCUUAACUGGGCGUUAAGUUGCAGGGUAUAGACCCGAAACCCGGUGAUCUAGCCAUGGGCAGGUUGAAGGUUGGGUAACACUAACUGGAGGACCGAACCGACUAAUGUUGAAAAAUUAGCGGAUGACUUGUGGCUGGGGGUGAAAGGCCAAUCAAACCGGGAGAUAGCUGGUUCUCCCCGAAAGCUAUUUAGGUAGCGCCUCGUGAAUUCAUCUCCGGGGGUAGAGCACUGUUUCGGCAAGGGGGUCAUCCCGACUUACCAACCCGAUGCAAACUGCGAAUACCGGAGAAUGUUAUCACGGGAGACACACGGCGGGUGCUAACGUCCGUCGUGAAGAGGGAAACAACCCAGACCGCCAGCUAAGGUCCCAAAGUCAUGGUUAAGUGGGAAACGAUGUGGGAAGGCCCAGACAGCCAGGAUGUUGGCUUAGAAGCAGCCAUCAUUUAAAGAAAGCGUAAUAGCUCACUGGUCGAGUCGGCCUGCGCGGAAGAUGUAACGGGGCUAAACCAUGCACCGAAGCUGCGGCAGCGACGCUUAUGCGUUGUUGGGUAGGGGAGCGUUCUGUAAGCCUGCGAAGGUGUGCUGUGAGGCAUGCUGGAGGUAUCAGAAGUGCGAAUGCUGACAUAAGUAACGAUAAAGCGGGUGAAAAGCCCGCUCGCCGGAAGACCAAGGGUUCCUGUCCAACGUUAAUCGGGGCAGGGUGAGUCGACCCCUAAGGCGAGGCCGAAAGGCGUAGUCGAUGGGAAACAGGUUAAUAUUCCUGUACUUGGUGUUACUGCGAAGGGGGGACGGAGAAGGCUAUGUUGGCCGGGCGACGGUUGUCCCGGUUUAAGCGUGUAGGCUGGUUUUCCAGGCAAAUCCGGAAAAUCAAGGCUGAGGCGUGAUGACGAGGCACUACGGUGCUGAAGCAACAAAUGCCCUGCUUCCAGGAAAAGCCUCUAAGCAUCAGGUAACAUCAAAUCGUACCCCAAACCGACACAGGUGGUCAGGUAGAGAAUACCAAGGCGCUUGAGAGAACUCGGGUGAAGGAACUAGGCAAAAUGGUGCCGUAACUUCGGGAGAAGGCACGCUGAUAUGUAGGUGAAGCGACUUGCUCGUGGAGCUGAAAUCAGUCGAAGAUACCAGCUGGCUGCAACUGUUUAUUAAAAACACAGCACUGUGCAAACACGAAAGUGGACGUAUACGGUGUGACGCCUGCCCGGUGCCGGAAGGUUAAUUGAUGGGGUUAGCGCAAGCGAAGCUCUUGAUCGAAGCCCCGGUAAACGGCGGCCGUAACUAUAACGGUCCUAAGGUAGCGAAAUUCCUUGUCGGGUAAGUUCCGACCUGCACGAAUGGCGUAAUGAUGGCCAGGCUGUCUCCACCCGAGACUCAGUGAAAUUGAACUCGCUGUGAAGAUGCAGUGUACCCGCGGCAAGACGGAAAGACCCCGUGAACCUUUACUAUAGCUUGACACUGAACAUUGAGCCUUGAUGUGUAGGAUAGGUGGGAGGCUUUGAAGUGUGGACGCCAGUCUGCAUGGAGCCGACCUUGAAAUACCACCCUUUAAUGUUUGAUGUUCUAACGUUGACCCGUAAUCCGGGUUGCGGACAGUGUCUGGUGGGUAGUUUGACUGGGGCGGUCUCCUCCUAAAGAGUAACGGAGGAGCACGAAGGUUGGCUAAUCCUGGUCGGACAUCAGGAGGUUAGUGCAAUGGCAUAAGCCAGCUUGACUGCGAGCGUGACGGCGCGAGCAGGUGCGAAAGCAGGUCAUAGUGAUCCGGUGGUUCUGAAUGGAAGGGCCAUCGCUCAACGGAUAAAAGGUACUCCGGGGAUAACAGGCUGAUACCGCCCAAGAGUUCAUAUCGACGGCGGUGUUUGGCACCUCGAUGUCGGCUCAUCACAUCCUGGGGCUGAAGUAGGUCCCAAGGGUAUGGCUGUUCGCCAUUUAAAGUGGUACGCGAGCUGGGUUUAGAACGUCGUGAGACAGUUCGGUCCCUAUCUGCCGUGGGCGCUGGAGAAUUGAGGGGGGCUGCUCCUAGUACGAGAGGACCGGAGUGGACGCAUCACUGGUGUUCGGGUUGUCAUGCCAAUGGCACUGCCCGGUAGCUAAAUGCGGAAGAGAUAAGUGCUGAAAGCAUCUAAGCACGAAACUUGCCCCGAGAUGAGUUCUCCCUGACUCCUUGAGAGUCCUGAAGGAACGUUGAAGACGACGACGUUGAUAGGCCGGGUGUGUAAGCGCAGCGAUGCGUUGAGCUAACCGGUACUAAUGAACCGUGAGGCUUAACCUUACAACGCCGAAGGUGUUU
rnacentral:rRNA from 1 species